GGCCGCAAGGUUAAAACUCAAAUGAAUUGACGGGGGCCCGCACAAGCGGUGGAGCAUGUGGUUUAAUUCGACGCAACGNGAAGAACCUUACCUGGCCUUGACAUCCUGCGAACUUUGUAGAGAUAGAUUGGUCCCUUUGGGAACGCAGUGACAGGUGGUGCAUGGCCGUAGUCAGCUCGUGUCGUGAGAUGUUGGGUUAAGUCCCGUAACGAGCGCAACCCCUAUCCCUAGUUGCUAGCAGUUCGGCUGAGAACUCUAGGGAGACUGCCGGUGACAAACCGGAGGAAGGUGGGGAUGACGUCAGGUCAUCAUGGCCCUUACGGCCAGGGCUACACACGUGCUACAAUGGUGCGUACAGAGGGUUGCAAACCCGCGAGGGGGAGCUAAUCUCACAAAACGCAUCGUAGUCCGGAUCGGAGUCUGCAACUCGACUCCGUGAAGUCGGAAUCGUUAGUAAUCGCGAAUCAGAAUGUCGCGGUGAAUACGUUCCCGGGCCUUGUACACACCGCCCGUCACACCAUGGGAGUGGAUUGCACCAGAAGUGGUUAGUCUAACCUUCGGGAGGACGAUCACCACGGUGUGGUUCAUGACUGGGGUGAAGUC
rnacentral:rRNA from 1 species